GACGAACGCUGGCGGCGUGCUUAACACAUGCAAGUCGAACGGAAAGGCCCUGCUUUUGUGGGGUGCUCGAGUGGCGAACGGGUGAGUAACACGUGAGUAACCUGCCCUUGACUUUGGGAUAACUUCAGGAAACUGGGGCUAAUACCGGAUAGGAGCUCCUGCUGCAUGGUGGGGGUUGGAAAGUUUCGGCGGUUGGGGAUGGACUCGCGGCUUAUCAGCUUGUUGGUGGGGUAGUGGCUUACCAAGGCUUUGACGGGUAGCCGGCCUGAGAGGGUGACCGGCCACAUUGGGACUGAGAUACGGCCCAGACUCCUACGUGAGGCAGCAGUGGGGAAUAUUGCACAAUGGGCGGAAGCCUGAUGCAGCAACGUCGCGUGCGGGAUGACGGCCUUCGGGUUGUAAACCGCUUUCGCCUGUGACGAAGCGUGAGUGACGGUAAUGGGUAAAGAAGCACCGGCUAACUACGUG
rnacentral:rRNA from 1 species